ACUUGCACUCAUCGUAUUAGCUCUAAGAUAGAUGAAGAUGCAGUGAAAGAAGCCCUAGCUCAACAAGAUAGUGACUCUAUUCCCAUGGAAGACAUCGACAAUCCUCUCAUUUCCUUGGAUUGUUUUAUAUUUCUGUGAAAUUGUGUGUGCAUGCCCCCUUAAUUUGUUGUGCUGUUCAUAAGAAUCUUUACUUUCUUUGUUUGUUUUUCUCUUCUCUUCAAGAGGAUAUUCAUUAUUAAUUGGUUUCUUUUUCUUUUUUUUCUUAAUCAGUUUCAUUUAUUGGUUUCAAAAUGAUCAACUAGAUCAGAAUUUCUGUAUCGAUUGUAAAAGAAGAUAUAUAUAUAUAUAUAUAUAUAUAUAUAUAAAAGAAAAAAGGAUCUGUUUGUUGCCUUA